ACACACACACACACACACACAGCAAAGUCAAUAUGCCAACAAAUUUUACAAACCAUGAAAAACAGGCAGCAGUCUACAGUACGUCUGGAAAACAACGGAUAUACUGAUGCAUCCUCACACACCAGACAAGAUCAGAUGACUACUGCGACAAUUGAUUCCAUGACUGAUAAUUGUUCUAUAAAUAAAAAAGACCAUAUAUGUUUACAGCUUUAUAGUCUGUGUGUGUCCUGCUGUUUUAUCCUUUUUAUCAUUCCUUCAGUCUCACUUAAUCAUUCCAUCAGUUCCAGACCAUGUGUUUUGCAGAAUGUGGGGUAAGUUGGGAGAGGAUUAAGGUUACAUGGCCCGCAUCCAGGCUGGCUUGCUAAGGAGCGAGUGUCGACAGCACUCUGACAGCCACAGAGGGCAUAAUACAUGAGGAUGGGGAGAUGCAGCACAGAUUUUAUCUAGCCCAGAAAUUACCUGACUGUCCUCUUUAAUCGGAGAAGCUCGGAGUGCUGCAUCACUGCUUCAAUACCAUGAACUUUGACUUCCACUCUAUUUCUUUCCCACUUUCCUCUCUGAUCCCCUCCUGGGCAUCUCUGAAGGCACUCACUAGUUGGCAAAGCUGCUGCUGACAUGGCCAUGCUCAGGUGUCAGAAAGCAGAGCUGAGGGUGCAAUGUGUUGCCCACAGCCAUGUCAACGGCAACCCAACACCCCUAAACCAAUCAGAGAUCAAAGGGAGAGGCAGUGUGACCUCAAGGGCUUAUAGCCUCUGGUGGUGUGUGUUUUAUGUGUAUUAAAGUCGCACUGGAAUUCUCCUUACAUAACCUUCCUUUAAAUUCCUGUAAAAUUAGCUUAAAAUGCCUAUCCAAGGCAUGCCUAAAGUAAAUUGAAACCUGUUUUUGAACCAUUAGGAGUACAUGCAUGGUUUUGGUCUCUUUUGAAAGUUAAUACUCUGAAGUUGUUUCCCCAACAGUCAGAAUCACUGUGAGUGCUACUGGCAUUGAGUAAUAGUGUGUUUGAACACACUGAAGUAUAAGGUUUUUAUUUCCGCCUGAAUAUUUUUUUGCAAAUAGAUGCCUGCAGAUGACCUAAAGCUGAGACUUAUUAGUUGGAAAACACAAUUGGUCCAAAGCACGGAACCUUACCUAGCCCAAAUUCAAAUUUAAUAACAAUACCACAGAAAAUGAAUAUUUUACACGUUUUUCUGAGGGUAUUUCAAGGCAUCUUCCAGAAAGAGGCAAUUUAGAGACACCAAAUGACCCCUGCUGCAGAGUAACUGAAGCAUAACCACACUACAGUGCUUUGUUCCCCUGUUGAACUAAACUUUGUGCAUAUAAAAGAGCCAAAUCAAGCGCUACAGUGGUAAACAGUUCAUAUAAAAAGUAACACCCAGCAAACUAUUUAAAUUUACAUAAGUUCCAUGUUGUGGCUUUACAGAAACCACUAAAGCUGCAUUUUCGGAUUUUCAUUGGCUAUUCGAAAUGCCAGUCUUCGAUAGAAUAGGGCCCAGUCUUUACACGAAAGAAGAGGGGCAGGCACCUCCUUUCAACGUGGACUCUUGUUGGAUAUUGUAGGCUGUGGACAGGACAUGGAAGCUCCGAUUGGGUCAAGUGAGGUGUCAAUCAAAAGGUCAGAGCGCAGCCGUCAUUUUGAUACCAAGAUGUGGCUAAUGUUUACAUGCUAACACAAGUUAUGACGGGAAAAUAUGUGGAAGGUUAGGGCAUCUGCUGGCUAAUUUGAAAUGAUGCAACACUUGUUCAUGGAUAUUUAUUGAUGUAAUAAUGUGUUUUGGACUAAAUAUUUUACUGAAUUGGAAAGACUGGACCUUUGCCAAUGUAACAAGACCAUUUUCGUUGAAGUGGUAUCAGUCAGUGGAGUAAUAUGAGGCUUCAUAGGUCUAGCACAUGGUGGUGAUGUUGCUCUCUUCAAAGAGGAUGCAAGUGACGUUAGUCAAAGAGUAUUUUUCCAGGAAACUGUCUGUUCACCCAGAGGUUGAGGUGGACUGACUCCAUCUGCUGUGCCGAUGCCAGGAGGACUCCGGGCCGUUCGGCGACCCUGUAGACAUCUGCUGCCUGCUACACAUGUGGUUGGACCUGACACAAGCUCACAGAUGGGAGAGGGAAAUCCCAGGAGACAACAGUUCCGUUGCAAGACCAACGUGGAGGGAAAGAUUUGGGAACUGCUGACAGAACCUUUAGUCGAGAUCUAGUACAAGGACUGUAGUUUUUUGGUUUUCUCACCAGUUAGUUUGUUAAUUUAUUAGCAUCCCCAUUAGCUAAUGCACUACCGCAGUAUUAGCUACUAUUGUGGGGUUCCAACAGUACUUAGAUAACAUGAACUUUUAAGAUGGGUGAUGAUGUGUGUUAGCUGGUUAUGGUCUACCAGCCAUACUUAGCCAAAAUGCACAAAUACCAGUAUGUUCUGCCAGUAUGUUCCUGGUUUGUUUUCAUCUUUCAUUAUUGUUGUUACUGCUGGACUUGAACAUAUUUCAUGUCACAUGGUCUAAUUGUUAUUUCAGAGGCGUUCUGACUAACUUUAACUUUUUUUUUUUUGCUUCUCUUUAAUUGAUUUUUAAAGCGAGACUUGGGAUAAUGUUAAAAUGCUAAAUGCUAAAUUAGUGUUUAUGCUAUUUUAACAGUAGCACAAGAGAGGUCAGCAAACUGUUUCCAUAAUGUGUGUUUUUACAGCAAUAUUAAUCUAAAACCACUGUAUGCUACUGGUUUUUCCAGAGCAAAUAAAGCUGUGGAAGCAAAACCCUUGAGCGUAAUAAAGUGAGAAA